AUGCAUACCAGUAGACCUUUUCUAGCUCUCCUAAUGGCCAGACAGGGGGGAUGGUAAAUGCAAGAGAAAAUCCGGAGUUGCUACCAGAUGCGAUCAGUCUCUCAUGUGACUGAUUGAACUGCCUUGCUCCAACAUGC
rnacentral:snoRNA from 1 species